rnacentral:rRNA from 1 species
AGUGAACGCUGGCGGCGUGCCUAAUACAUGCAAGUCGAACGAAGUGGCGGACGCAUGAGUAAUAUAUAGUUAAUCUGCCCUACACAGAGGAACAACAGUUGGAAACGACUGCUAAUACCUCAUAGUGUAGGAUGAGACUAAAUCGUAUCAGCUAUUUGGUAAGGUAAGGGCUUACAAAGGAUAUGACGCUUAACUGGUCUGAUAGGAUGAUAAGUGACAUUGGAACUGAGACACGGUACAAACUCCUACGGGAGGGAGCAGUAAGGAAUUGUUCGCAAUGGGGGAAACCCGGACGCAGCAACGUCGAGUGGAGCAUGCGACGGCAGGGAGAGUAGAGUCCAUGUAACAGGGAAUCGGUACCUGCCGAACAGGCACCGGCUAACUCCGUGCCAGCAGCCGCGGUAAUAC